ensembl:lncRNA
GUUAGAAGAAGAUGUAACUAUAGAGGAAAUUACAAGAGCAAUGCUAAGUAUGCAAAAUAAUAAGGCACCAGGACUGGAUGGUUUGCCUAAAGAGUACUAUUUUACCUUUUGGGAACAGCUUAGCUCCUCUUUGCUUUUAGUUUACAAAGAAUCUUGGGACAAAAAGGUAUUACCGUUGUCUAUGAAUAAAGAGAUGAUUUCGCUGUUGUGGAAGAAGGGCUCAAAAAAAGAUUUAAGAAAUUGGAGACCCCUAACACUGUUAGGUGUGGACAUAAAAAUUUUAACAAAAGCCUUAUUUUUCCGGUUGCAGGCGGUUGUACCUAAACUUAUUGGUGUAGAACAAACAUGUGGGAUAUUGGGACGGAAGAUGACAGACAGUUUGGCUAUUUUUUUUUUUUUUUUUUUUAAAUAAAUAGGACAGGGGGAAUGAAUGAGAGAAAGAGGAGGAGAGAAAGAAAGAAAACCAAAGGGGAGAAGAGACGGUGAGAAGGGGGGGGAAGAGAGAGAGAAAAAAAAAAAAGAACUCCUGGGUCACCUGUAUGGAGAAAAAAAGAAACAAACAAAAAAAAACAAACAGAGGAGACAGCAAACAACAAAGAGCAACAUAAUAAUAGAGAAAACAAAGCACCAUCACAAUAAACUAGCUAGUCAUAGAUAUCAAUAUUUACUAAAUAAUAAACGAUAUUGUGCAGCACGCAAGAUAGACAGCGCACAGUGUGCUUUGAGGCAGCAGCCAAGAAAGCUUUAGUCCGCGUCUGUGAAUACCCAUGUGUGCAUACCUGUGUGGAUCAGCAUGCUUGCAUUCCAAAGGUUUCUCCAUGUAAUGAUCUGCUAGGGAGUGUGGGGGGGCCACAGCCCCGUCCUCCAGGGUGUGAAGCGGGUAUGGAGGAGAUCAAAACUCCAGACAUCCAGAGGCCCCCAGAACACAAGAGACCAUGGAAGACCAACAGAGGGGCAGCCGCGCCACUGUUCCAGUAAGAGCUGAGGAGAGUCCCAGAUGAGGGCUCGCCCAGCAGCCGCGGAGCAGAAGUCAGGGGGAGUUGCAGUGACGCGCCCGUGAGCUCCGCCGGCCCCCAGCUGUGCCUGAGUGACCGAGCCCCAGGCCGAGAGGCCGGGGGCACCCCACCUCCAGUUUGGCUAUUAUAAGAGAUAGUUAUUUUUAUAGCCAGGAGCAGAAUAUUCCCCUUUGCGUUUUAGGAAUUGAUCUAGAAAAAGCUUUUGAUAAUGUUAAUCACAUGUUUUUGAUGAAGGUUCUUGAAAUUUUGGGUUUUGGGG